rnacentral:tRNA from 1 species
GGGGCGGUGGUCUAGUGGUUAUGUCGCUCUGCCUUGUAGGCAGAGAGGUCGGUGGUUCGAAUCCAUCCCGCUCCA